CUUUGGUUCUAUUUUGUUGGUUUCUAGGACCGAAGUAAUGAUUAAUAGGGACAGUUGGGGGCAUUAGUAUUUAAUUGUCAGAGGUGAAAUUCUUGGAUUUAUGAAAGACUAACUUCUGCGAAAGCAUUUGCCAAGGAUGUUUUCAUUAAUCAAGAACGAAAGUUAGGGGAUCCAAAAAGAUCAGAUACCUUUGUAGUCCUAACCGUAAACUAUGCCGACUAGGGAUCAGACGAUGUUAUUUUAUUGACGCGUUUGGCACCUUAUGAGAAAUCAAAGUUUUUGGGUUCCGGGGGGAGUAUGGUCGCAAGGCUGAAACUUAAAGGAAUUGACGGAAGGUCACCACCAGGAGUGGAGCCUGCGGCUUAAUUUGACUCAACACGGGGAAACUCA
rnacentral:rRNA from 1 species